AAGACUAUACUUUCAGGGAUCAUUUCUAUAGUUCGUUACUAAGUAGGAUCUAUACAAUCAGUGCAGAGCCUGAAAUGGCACUUGAACUUAUGAACUGUGAGAUCAUGACUUGAGCUGA
rnacentral:snoRNA from 1 species